CGCGACGCAGCGCGGCGGGGAGGUAAGAUGGCGCCGCGCCCGGCGCUUCCGCCGUGCGGUUAGGUGGCUGCUCGCCCUUUCUGUCGGGUCAGCGCGCUACUCCGUCCCCUGCCGCCGCGCCGGUGCCACUCUCGGUUGUUGGGCGUCCGGGAACCAGGUUCUCGGGUGCCGGGAGCCGCAGGACAAGAUGGCGCUUGCAGGACGCCUGGGCGCCGCGAGCCGGGGCUCGCCGUGAGCCCUGGAGGCGGCCGGGGACAAAGGCGGCGGCGAGCCGGGGCGUGGGGGGCGGGGCGCGCCGUUGCAGGAGUGCCGCGUGGGGCUGGUGCGGCGCUUCCGGUCUGCGGCGGCGGCGAAGACUCGGCCAGCGUGGUUUUGGUAUGAACAGGAUUCGGAUUCACGUCUUGCCAACGAAUCGGGGGAGGAUCACCCCAGUGCCCAGAUCGCAGGAGCCCCUUUCUUGUUCCUUCGCUCACCGCCCAUGCUCCCAACCGCGCCUGGAGGGGCAGGAGUUUUGCAUUAAGCAUAUUCUUGAAGACAAGAAUGCACCCUUCAAACAAUGUAGCUACAUCUCCACCAAGAAUGGCAAACGGUGUCCCAGCGCUGCCCCCAAGCCCGAGAAGAAAGAUGGGGUGUCUUUCUGUGCCGAACAUGCGCGAAGGAAUGCCCUAGCACUUCAUGCUCAAAUGAAGAGGAACAACCCAGGCCCUGUGGGUGAAACCCUCUUGUGUCAGCUGAGCUCAUAUGCUAAGCCAGAGCUGGGCUCGCAGACCCCAGAGAGCAGUCGGAGUGAAGCUAGCCGGAUCCUGGAUGAAGACAGCUGGAGUGAUGGGGACCAGGAACCCAUCACUGUGGAUCAGACAUGGAGAGGUGACCCUGACAGUGAAGCUGAUAGCAUAGACAGUGACCAAGAAGACCCCCUGAAACAUGCUGGUGUCUACACAGCCGAAGAAGUGGCUCUUAUUAUGAGAGAGAAGCUAAUUCGUUUGCAGUCCCUGUACAUUGAUCAGUUUAAACGGCUCCAGCACUUACUCAAAGAGAAGAAGCGCCGGUACUUACACAAUCGGAAAGUGGAACAUGAAGCUCUAGGUAGCAGUCUCCUGACCGGCCCAGAGGGACUUUUAGCCAAAGAAAGAGAGAACUUAAAGCGACUGAAAUGCCUCAGGCGAUACCGCCAGCGCUAUGGCGUCGAGGCCUUACUCCACAGGCAGCUGAAGGAACGCAGGAUGCUGGCCACAGAAGGGGCUGCUCAGCAGGCUCACACCACUCGCUCCAGUCAGAGGUGCUUGGCCUUUGUGGAUGACGUCCGUUGCUCGAAUCAGUCUCUUCCAAUGACCAGACACUGCCUUACCCAUAUUUGCCAGGAUACAAAUCAGGUUCUCUUCAAAUGCUGCCAGGGAUCUGAAGAAGUACCCUGCAACAAACCAGUUCCUGUAAGCCUUUCUGAGGAUCCCUGCUGUCCACUGCAUUUCCAGUUGCCUCCUCAGAUGUAUAAGCCCGAGCAGGUACUGUCUGUGCCAGACGAUCUGGAAGCCGGCCCCAUGGAUCUGUACUUGAGUGCUGCCGAGCUUCAGCCCACUGAGAGUUUACCACUGGAGUUCAGUGAUAAUACUUGAACUAUGUUAAGUUUAAGACUCAGAGGCUUAGCUGGGCCAGGUGGCACAGGCCUGUAAUCCCAGCUACUGGGAGGUGAAGCAGGAGCAUCAUAAGUUCAAGUCUUGCCUGGGCUGCAGGGACUUGGACGUUGUGGGUGAUGGCAUGCCGUGCCCUCCAUCACCCUUGCUCUUUGAUCCUUCGCUGACUCUUGAAGAUCAUUCCGUCAGAGACAUUGCUGGAGGCCCAGGACAGAUGCAGGUGGCUGGGGAUGGGUGCAGACCCCAGGGACCUCGGAAUUUAGAGAAAGCCUGUGCAUCAUUCCCUCAGCGUGGAUUGGCUGCUGCAAACGGAAACCCAGAACCUACUUCCAUCAGUUGACAGUUCCUUCUGGACAUUGUUUGACUUUGGUGGACUGAACUUUCCAUUCUUCAAACAAGUAUAUCUCUGCUCAUCUCUCACUAAACAGGGACAACCCAGACUACAUUGUUUUUCUUCGGGGCUGUAGAGUACUGUAAGCAAACAUAAACCAAAUCUGUGAGGAACGGAUCUCUAGUAUUUAAAAGUUAUGGAAUUCUUUGCAAGGAAGAGAGUACCAUAGUCCCUGCCUUUGGGAUGGAAUGAUUAGUGGAGACGAUGCCUGAGAAAGAGACGGUGUUUGUGAUGUGAUUUCCUGCUACUAGGCAGGGGCUGUGGUCAGGAAUGGCGCUCCUCAGGUGCUGGCUGUUCAGUGUCUGGCUAUCUGUAUCUAAAGGCCUGUGUUGAAGCCUUUCCUCAGCUCCACAUAACUGGGCAAUAUAAACCCCUUUUCCCAGUGACUGACUGAAAAGCAGCUCACAGGGCUGGGCUUUCCUUAAUUAUCCUUGCUUUUUAUUUAUGUAAAUGUCUGGUGGACCCCCCCCCAUGUAAAAUAUAGUAAAGUUAUUGUAUAUAGUUUCUAUUAAAUGGUAAAAUGUUAUGGAAAUGUAAAGUAGUGUGAAUUGAAUUUGGGUUUUUUGUUUUUGUAUUUGAGAGUGUCUAUUUUCUGGGACUUCCAAUGCCAUCUGAUGGGAAGAAGGAAAUGGGAAAAGUCCCUAGUAUUUCUGUCCUUGAACAGGCAUUACUGGAGAAACGGCAGGAGAGAAGUGGUACUUGUUACCUAGCUCACAGGCCAGAUAGAACUGUGUUCCCUGGAGAGUUAAGAUUUAGUUCAGGAGUGGGCUCAAGACUACAGUGCGGUAGGGCCUUGGUGGGGCCCCAUGGAGGGGGAGAACAUGGCAGAGCCGUCAAAGGGCACAGUGGUGAGGUCUGUGUCAUGCUGGUUCUAGGGGAACAUUUGACAGAUGCUUCUAAAGUCUGAAUAACAGUUCACAGAAAACAAGGAAUAAAGCCGCGAGGAAGAAGAUUGAGCUUGUCCUUCAGUUAUCCCCUACUGUAUGAGCUGUACAUUUCUCCCUGCGAGAAAAUAUACUGAGGUGAAGAGCAUGCGCUCAGCCCUGGCUGUUUUCAGUUACUCUCCUGUUGCUUCUGACUAAGGCUUAUGGUUCCAGAAGGAAUAAGAGGCCAUGGCCAUGAGGCGUGACAGCCGGGGGAGAUGUGGCAAGAUCAGCAAGCUGAGAGCUCAUGUCUAACUACAAGCAUGAAACAGAGCAAACGGAAGUGGUACAAGGCUUUUCUUCUCAAAGCCCAACUUCCCGCAGCAAGUCUGCAUCCCCUAAAACUGCCACCAACUGGGCGUCAAGUGUCCAAAGGCCAGAGGCUGGUGGACAUUUUCCAUGCAUAUAAAUAACCACACCAGGUUUGGCCAAUGGAAAGUCCAGAACCGCAGUACGGGAACAGAGAUUGUUAGAAGGGAGUUGGUCCAAAUAGCAGAGUGCAUUUGUUGGAUCUGAGCCAGGCCAAAUUGCAGUCCACCCCAUCAGGACCAUCAAAGGUAGGGAGACAAGCCUCACAGUGCUGCAGGAUGAGAAGGCUGGAUUUCAUGGGAAAUGCAGAUGAUGGCUAGUGGAUAGUGGCUCCUGUUCACGCUGCCGCACCCAACAUUGCCUUUUUGGACUGAGAGAUGGAUACAAGUACUGAGGUACUUUUGUGCCAUAUUGGACUUUGCUAACAUUCCUUCAUUAGUAUCCUCUUAGCCGGGAAGUAAAUGAAACUUAGUAAGUUCCUGAAGCCUACAAGGUUCUUAAGUCUCACCUUCCCAGAGAUAUACAAGCGGUAAUUAAUUUCUGGGGAGAGGAGGCUCCAAAAUGAGCAAACGCUGUAAACCAGUUCUCGGCAAGCUGUGUAGGGAGCUCCAGGGAUCGACUUGUGCGGGUUGUCACCGUGUUGGGGAAAUUUCAGUGAUGUACCUCUCUGUGAGUCAUCCAUGCUGUCAGUAAACAAUAAACUCAACAGUCCACUGAA